UCAAGAAUUAAGAGCCUGUUGAAGAUGAAGCUGGACUUCGAGUCCGCGCCUGCAUAUUCCUACGACUUCUCAGAGUCCUAUGGACUGUGACUGAGGAGACAAACCAUGCAAGAAACAACA